rnacentral:rRNA from 1 species
CAGCAGCAGCCGCGGUAAUUCGUAGGUGGCAAGCGUUGUCCGGAAUUAUUGGGCGUAAAGGGCUCGCAGGCGGUUUCUUAAGUCUGAUGUGAAAGCCCCCGGCUCAACCGGGGAGGGUCAUUGGAAACUGGGAAACUUGAGUGCAGAAGAGGAGAGUGGAAUUCCACGUGUAGCGGUGAAAUGCGUAGAGAUGUGGAGGAACACCAGUGGCGAAGGCGACUCUCUGGUCUGUAACUGACGCUGAGGAGCGAAAGCGUGGGGAGCGAACAGGAUUAGAUACCCCUGUAGUCCCUGUCUCUUAUAC